rnacentral:rRNA from 1 species
UACGUAGGGCGCAAGCGUUGUCCGGAAUUAUUGGGCGUAAAGAGCUCGUAGGCGGUUUGUCGCGUCUGCUGUGAAAACCUGAGGCUCAACCUCGGGCUUGCAGUGGGUACGGGCAGACUAGAGUGCGGUAGGGGUGACUGGAAUUCCUGGUGUAGCGGUGGAAUGCGCAGAUAUCAGGAAGAACACCAAUGGCGAAGGCAGCUCUCUGGGACGGUACUGACGCUGAGACGCGAAAGCGUGGGGAGCGAACAGG